AUGGAUUCAGCAUCUCCUGCGUUCACCUUUCUCCCUCCUCCUCCCCCUCCCCCUCCCCCUCCAAACCCAAAUCCAAACCCUAGAAUCACCAAUUCCCAACCUCCGAAUCUCCAAACCACACUCUCAUCCCUAAAACACCUCAUCCAUCUCUCCGAAUCCACCCUCCAUUCCCUCUCUGCCCAAUUCCUCCCAUUUCCAAUUCCCCCACCCAAUUCCAAUUCCAAUUCCAAAUCCUUCGUCCCCUGUCAGUUCAAUCCCAACCACCAUCUCCCGCCCUCUUCCCUCUUUCACCACCAUCUCAUUUGCCCCGAUUCCCCUUCCCCAAUCUCCCCUCAAAACGACGUCGUUUCCCUUCCCUUAAAUCACCCUCCCACCAUUCCAAACACAAACACAAACACCAACCAAAACGACGUCGUUUCCAUUCCCCUAAAUCACCCUCCCACUAUUCCAAACACAAACCCUAACCAAAACGACGUCGUUUCCAUUUCCUUAAACCCUCACCACACCUCACUUGCUCCCAACUUUUUCUAUUUAAACUCCCCUGCUGUCGUUACAUUUCCGAUUCGCGAUAACACGAGUGAAAAUAGUAAUUUUACAUUUCCUGUUGUUUUAUUUAAUGAAUGUGAAAAUACUAAUGAUGAUAUUAUUACAGAUAUUGAUAUUAUGCUGUGUAGAUUACUUGCUUCUGAAUGUUUUAAUGUUAGAAUAGAAAUAUUUAGAUGGAAGGAUUACCCGAGCUUUUAUUCUUACGCCGUUUUGCGUACAAUUUUAAGUUGUUACGUUUUAGGAAACGAGGAGUUGAAGGAAUGGAUUUUAGUUAAUUCACCUUUUUACGGUGUUGUGGUUGAUGCGUUUAUGAGGGAUCAUAUUUUUGUAUUGUUUAAGGUUUGCUUGAAAGCUAUUGCUAGGGAAGCUAGUAAGUAUUUAAUGUCGGUUUUGAAAGGGGUCGGGACGGGUGGGAGUUAUCGGUUUGAGUGUCCGGUUUUGGUGAAAGUGAUGAUGUGGUUAGGUGAACAGUUUGGUGUGUUGUAUGGGGAAGUGAACGGGAAGUUGUUUGCGGUUAAUAUGUUGAAGCAAUCGUUAAUUAUUGCUUCGUCGGGAUCUUUGUUUAAUUUUGGUGAGGACAGGGUCGGGGAAUCCGUUAGGUUGACUGAGGAAAAAGAUGGAAGUGGAACGACGGUGGUUUUGGUUUCACAGGUAGCGGCGGCUGUUGCUGCAUUGUAUCAACGUGCGGCUUUGGAGACAAGAAUCAAAGGGAUACGGGCUUCACGGUUUGUUCCGGCUUAUCAAAGAGUGCAAGAACACGCAUAUAUAUCAAAAAUGGCCGAAGAAGAGCGCAAAAAACGUCCAAAUUAUAGACCUAUAAUCGAACAUGACGGUGUACUUUGGAAUCGUGGAGGUAACCAGGAUUCGAAUAAAAAUAAGUCACGAGAGGAAUUGUUAGCUGAAGAAAGGGAUUACAAAAGGCGAAGAAUGUCAUAUCGUGGCAAAAAAAUGAAAAGAAGUACUACUCAGGUCAUGAGAGAUAUAAUUGACGAAUACAUGCAAGAAAUCAAGUGUGCAAACAUGGGUGGUCAGCCUCUGGUAGAGUCCACAAGCGUUGCAUCAGAACCUUCUGCCAUGAGUGAUGUGCAUGCAGAUAAAUAUGAAAACAAUCAUAUUCGUGACAAAAUUAGCCGAAGAGGACCAAAACAAACUUCUGAUAUCAGUAUGAGAUCCGAAAGAUCUGAGGACGUGAUCAAAGAAAAAGGUGACAAGCAGAGACAUGAUGAACAACAUGAAGAAUAUUUUUCCAAGAAAACCAAUGGGCGUAGAAGUAGUAGCCGUUCUCAUGAUCAUAGACAACAAGACAAGCAGAGACACUCCAGAAAAAGCUACGUUUCAAACCCUGAUAGCGAUCAUGGCAGGUCACAUGUUAAUAGCCGAAGGAGUGAGCACAAGAACAUGAGAUCAUCUUCCAAUGUAACCAUUGAAUUUGAGGACAGAUAUCAUCCUUCUAAAUCGCAUGACGUUGAUGAUGAUGAUCUCUAACCGAUAGCUAGUAUGAUUAACCAAUCUGUCCUGCCAUUGUUGUUCUGGUGAGUAUGUAGGGGCUUCAAAUUCUAGAAAGAGUAGGAAGGUAUCCAGGCUUCAGCAGUUUCAAAAAUCUGUGAAAAUGAGCUGGUUUGUGCUGCUAGAAAAGUAUAAGAGUAAUAUGCAAUAGCGAGGAGUUGAAAUGACUUCGUAAUGUUUUCGAUGUUUUCUAUAUUUCGUUGUAGCUGAGUAGAUCCUUGGAACUUAUACUGCCUAAUUGCCUAUUAAUUAUCUGUGAAAUAACAUGUUCAGUUUGAGAAUUUUCUUACGGUGUGUAAUAAUUGAGUACUUGUAUGUAUAUAUAUAAGAAAUAUGGAUAGUUUUGCUUUUGGGAAGUGAUACUGGAUUACUGGUACCGUGAAUAUUGUUUUUAAUUUUAUUUUUGUUUCAAGGGUAAA